rnacentral:rRNA from 1 species
CCUACGGGUGGCAGCAGUGAGGAAUAUUGGUCAAUGGGCGUAAGCCUGAACCAGCCAAGUCGCGUGAGGGAUGACGGUUCUAUGGAUCGUAAACCUCUUUUAUCAGGGAAUAACGUGCGGGACGUGUCCCGUUUUGUAUGUACCUUAUGAAUAAGGAUCGGCUAACGCCGUGCCAGCAGCCGCGGUAAUAAGGAGGAUCCGAACGUUAUCCGGAUUUAUUUGGUUUAAAGGGUGGGUGGGCGGCAUUUUAAGUCAGCGGGGAAAGUCUGUGGCUCAACCAUAGAAUUGCCGUUGAAACUGGGAGUCUUGAGUAUGUUAGAGGCAGGCGGAAUGCGUGGUGUAGCGGUGAAAUGCUUAGAUAUCACGCAGAACCCCGAUUGCGAAGGCAGCAUGCCAGGCCAUGACUGACGCUGAUGCACGAAAGCGUGGGGAUCAAACAGGAUUAGAUACCCUGGUAGUC